GGGGGGGGGGGGGGGGGGGGGGGGGGGGGGGAGGGGGAGGGGGAAGGGCGUGCGGGGGGGGGGGGCUGGAGGGGGGGAGGGGGGGGGGACACGGGAGUAACCUGGCCUGGACUUGGGGAGAACUUCAGGAAACUGGGGCGAAGACCGGAUAGGAGCUGCGGCUGCAUGGUGGGGGGUGGAGAGUUUCGGCGGUUGGGGAUGGAAUCGCGGCUUAUCAGCUUGUUGGUGGGGUAGUGGCUUACCAAGGCGUUGACGGGUAGCCGGCCUGAGAGGGUGACCGGCCACAUUGGGACUGAGAUACGGCCCAGACUCCUACGGGAGGCAGCAGUGGGGAAUAUUGCACAAUGGGCGGAAGCCUGAUGCAGCAACGCCGCGUGCGGGAUGACGGCCUUCGGGUUGUAAACCGCUUUCGCCUGUGACGAAGCGUGAGUGACGGUAAUGGGUAAAGAAGCACCGGCUAACUACGUG
rnacentral:rRNA from 1 species